AAAUUAACAGAGAGAGAGAGUGAAAGGGGAAAAUGGAGCAGCCAUCUUCUCCAGGAACAAGACCAGUGGAGCUCAGAGACUGUAUAGAGGAGCUCAUGAAGUUCACUCUCCAGGCCUACACAGAUCAAACCUUGGGAUUAGAUCUUCAUCUUUCCAAGGAUUUCUGCUUCCAGCUGCUCAAUGAUUCUUACCACUCCGAUUCCGGUGACAAACAAGAAUACAAUUCUUUUCUUCUAUUCUAUUGAUUUUACUUCAUUUUAACUCUGAUUUUGUUUCUUUAUUCUGAAUUGUUUAGAACAAGCCCUUCCACAAUCUUUAUACCAGCGUCUAGCUUCCAUUUUAUGCGAAUUUAUAACUUAUGGUUCCUUUUCUGAGGCAACCAAGUUCAUGGAAUCAUACAAUCUAGACAAUGACUUGAGAGAAAGAGGAAAAUGGGACAAAUUGAUUCUGGAUGAAGGAACUCAAUUACUUAAUGUAUGUUCUUUGUAUUUUUAGUAAUUUUGCCUCUCUUAAUGGUUUGAUAACUUAUGAGCUUCAGCUUUAUCAGAUCUUGAAGAGUGUAAACUUUGAAAUUGAUGUUCAGGAGCCUUUCUUUACACAAUUAAGAGGUGCAGACUUUGUUUUUAGAUUUUUGUGCCCGCUUGUUAGGGAUGAAGAUUCCUUCUUGAUCUUUUACAUGGUUAAAAAUCCUUUUCAAUCCAAAGAUUUUUACUGUCAUGUGGUGCUGUUUGUAGAUGGCCUGAAAACAGUUGAAGGAAGGUGUGCUGUAGGUGACUAUAAUCAGUAUGGCUUCUAUCAUGUUGCUAGUGUUAUGUGCUCUCUUGUUUGAUGUACAUUUCCUUGCUCAUUUCAUUUUCAAUUCUUGCUUUUUUUUUUAUGAUGUAAGGAAUACAACAUUAAGUGAAAAUCAAAAGCAUUAAAUCUAAGCUAACAAAAGAUUGACAUAAUAAUUUUUAUUGGUCAAUUUUUUUACUCUUAGUUAUCUCAAAUUUUAACUUUCAUUAGCACCCGUUGUGGGUAUAUUACACUUCUAAGUAGGGAAGGUAAUAUCUGAGUUCUUUUUUCUUUUUCAGCUUCAUGUUCAAACUAUGGAAGAAGAUCCAAUAUUGCAUGGCUUUCCUUGUCCUCAUGAGCUCUCAUACUAUUGCAAGGAUUCUGAUUUUUAGCAUUAUCUUUUGACAUGUGCACAUUAUCUGUGCAAAUUUUCCUGCUUGGCUUAUCUGCAUUGCAUAGAGAGCUUUAACUUUAUAUUGGUCCAUUUGUUAGGUAUCCUGAUAUAUGCCAUGUAUAACAAGAGUGCUUGCUUUCAAGCAUUUGAGUUCUCUCUAAAAUGACUAAUUGUUCUUUGAACCUUUAUCUGCACCUGACAUUUAGGUUUUCUUUAUUCUCCAUAUAUUUUACUAAUUGCAUUUUUCCUUUUCAAAAGUUUUUAGUUGUUUCUUUUACAUUUAUUCUUUCUCCCGCCUCCUUUUCAGAAUUGAAUCAGGAGCAUUGAUCCUCUUUAAUAAAUGUCUGGUGCUUCAAGUUCAGGAUAUUCACCGGUAUACUUCUUUUGCUGAGAUGUUGGAAGCAGAGAGUCUUGAAAAAGUCCUUCCUGGAGUAAAAACCAUUGAUGAAGGUAACAACCUUGCAUUUUUUUCACAUAAAUUUAUCAAAUGAUUAGCACACAUUUUAAAAGCCUCUAUAAUUGAGAAACACUUACAAUUUUAUGAUGCUAUAUAUCUUAGCGUAGCACAAAAUCCAUUAGUAGUAUCUAGUAUGUAAAAAAUGGAAUGCUGCUUUUCCAGCUGUUAAAGUUUACAGAAAGUUUUAUACAGAAGCAAAAGAAAGAGCCAAUGGUGUACUUGCUAUUUGUGUUGCAAAAUCAUCAGCCCAACCUUACAUUCCUUUGGCUGGGAUUCUUUCUGUGAGUCUUCUUACUGACAUGCCUGUUGAGGUUACCAUGCACUAUUGAUUUUUCUGAAUUCAUUUUAGUGGGCUAUGGAGUUAGAUGAAAUAAGGAUUUGUUGAAAAGGAAGAAGUGGAAAACUUAAAGAAGUGUUAAAGAAAGAACUAAACAGACCCAAGGAGAAUUCGGUAGGAGAAUAGUAGUCAAUUGCUCGUCUUCUCGUUCUUCUUCUCCUUCUUCUUUCAAGACAGCUCAGCAAACUAGGCUUCAAAGUGGUGUGUGUUUUUGGUUUCACAGUUUCAGUUUUCCUGAAAGAACAAGUGCACAAAGGAUGCAUGCAAAAUGUUGUGUUAAGAGAAAAUUUGUAAAUUUUGGGGGAGAGAGGAUUCCAUCUUUGUGGACAGAACACAAUAUCUAAUCCUAAAAAUUCAUUUUGUCAUUUCAAGUGAUACAAGAGAGAUGGGCAGCACAGAACUCAGGCAUACUCUCAGAAAACCCUUAUUUUAGUCUCUUAAAAAAACUUAGAUAUACAUAUGCAGACCUUGAAACUAAAUAUUGACUGAUAUUUGAAGGCAGAAUAGUUGCUAGAAGCUUCUAGUUCCUUGGUUAGUUCAGCUGGGGAUUCUCACAGCUCAAAUUCUGAAUAGUUUGAUACAGUUUUUCAUAUUUUGUGUAGAUGAUAUGCUAUGCUUUAAAAUUUUUCUGUUGGUUAGUUUUUGGUUGUUUUGUUAGCAAGCAGUGUUGCAAAUUUAGUUUAUUUUCUUUGGAUGAUGUUACCAGCUGUUCUCUUAUGGUCUGGAGUUGUUAGUCACUCUAGGACUUGGACUGAGAUUGGAUUUGAGUUUUUUCCUUGUAAAUAUUAGAAAGUCCAAAUUUCCCAGACAUUCCAAGUGUACCUAUUUUCAAUCUCUUAGGCUUGGUAAAACAUCAAAUGUUAGUAUUUAACCACUUAUUAUGUCCAUAUUCUUAGAGUGUGUCCCACAUUUCUUUUGAAAAGGAAUCCUAUUUGGGAAUAACUUGGUCUAAUGACAAUGCUUAAUUGACUUUUUUUUUCCCGUGCAUCUGUUUGAAGCAUGAUUUUAUCUGCUAUCUCCUCAUUUAAACAGUAGUUUUAUCUUUUUUAUGCUACAGAGGCCAGAAAUUAUAUGCUGAAGUGAUCCUAAUUUGAUUACUUAAACAUCUAAUAUAGGGAUUAAGUUAUAAAGGGAUUGCAAACUAUUUGGGUCAGCAUUAUUUUCCUGGAACAAUACCAGGUAAGUAGAUAUGCCCUCCCUUGCCAAAAUCAGUUCAUCUUUCUUCAUCUGAAGUGCCUUGUAAGCAAUGUAAGAUAUGACAUGCUAAUAAUGCUAUGAAUUUUUGGCUUGAACUUGUCCCUUUCCAAACUAAUAGUGUUGUAACUGAAUUCUAUAUUGUUUCAUCUCAGCGUAAACGUAUAGAAACAAAAAAUAUAUGGAUUCUUGCACUAUGGCGAAAGGAAAGAUAAAUGGCAGUGUAUCGAGAUCGAAAGGCUGGUUCAGAAGGCAACCACAGCCAAACACCAGAAGGAAAGGCUGCUGCUGCAGGGCAGGAAAUUUUAGGAACACAAACAUAUUUGAUCUGUGUUUUGUUCCAUCCUUUUGAAGCUCACUUGAAUUGCAUCAGACUCUUCCAUGGGCACUCCGCAGAAUUUGAGCUAUUAUGUCUUCUGAUAAUUG
rnacentral:misc_RNA from 1 species